GCAGGCUUAACACAUGCAAGUCGAACGCCCGAGCAAUCGGGAGUGGCAGACGGGUGAGUAACACGUGGGAACAUACCCUCAGGUUCGGAACAACGCCGGGAAACUGGCGCUAAUACCGGAUACGCCCUAUUGGGGAAAGGCUUGCUGCCUGAGGAUUGGCCCGCGUUCGAUUAGCUGGAUGGCGGGGUAACGGCCCACCAUGGCGACGAUCGAUAGCUGGUCUGAGAGGAUGGCCAGCCACAUUGGGACUGAGACACGGCCCAAACUCCUACGGGAGGCAGCAGUGGGGAAUAUUGGACAAUGGGCGCAAGCCUGAUCCAGCCAUGCCGCGUGAGUGAUGACGGCCUUAGGGUUGUAAAGCUCUUUCGCACGCGACGAUAAUGACGGUAGCGUGAGAAGAAGCCCCGGCUAACUUCGUGCCAGCAGCCGCGGUAAUACGAAGGGGGCUAGCGUUGUUCGGAAUCACUGGGCGUAAAGGGUGCGCAGGCGGGUUCAUAAGUCAGGGGUGAAAUCCCGAGGCUCAACCUCGGAACGGCCUUUGAUACUGUGGAUCUUGAGUCCGGAAGAGG
rnacentral:rRNA from 1 species